rnacentral:rRNA from 1 species
GGGCCCGCACAAGCGGUGGAGCAUGUGGUUUAAUUCGAUGAUACGCGAGGAACCUUACCAGGGCUUAAAUGUAAGUUGCAUUAGUUAGAGAUAGCUAUUUCUUCGGACCACUUACAAGGUGCUGCAUGGUUGUCGUCAGCUCGUGCCGUGAGGUGUCAGGUUAAGUCCUAUAACGAGCGCAACCCCUGUUGUUAGUUGCCAGCGAGUCAUGUCGGGAACUCUAACAAGACUGCCGAUUAUAAAUCGGAGGAAGGUAAGGACGACGUCAAGUCAUCAUGCCCCUUACACUCUGGCUACACACGUGCUACAUUGGGUAGAACAAUAAGUUGCUAAGUUGCGAAACCAAGCG